UACGAAGGGUGCAAACGUUGCUCGGAAUUAUUGGGCGUAAAGCGCGUGUAGGCGGCAUUGCAAGUCGCGUGUGAAAGCCCCCGGCUCAACUGGGGAGGGUCACGCGAUACUGAUCGACUCGAAGGCAGGAGAGGGUAGUGGAAUUCCCGGUGUAGUGGUGAAAUGCGUAGAUAUCGGGAGGAACACCAGUGGCGAAGGCGACUACCUGGCCUGUUCUUGACGCUGAGGCGCGAAAGCUAGGGGAGCAAACGGG
rnacentral:rRNA from 1 species